GUUUUGGUUCUUUCAGUUCCUAGCUUAUGAUUCUUACCAGGUUGUUUUUUUUUCCUUUUUACCUUUAUAGGAAUGAAAACCCUAAAACAUGUCGUUUUUUGAAACCAUUUUUUCUGAAAACGGCAUGGAUCGUGGAUUUGAAGGUCUUACUUUUGGUACUUUUUUCCCAUUAGUGGCUGUUGUUGUAUUUUCAGAUCUGACUCUGGGUUUCUUUCCUUAUAUGGCAAACUCUUUACCUUUUGUUUUUUAUUCUUUGGUUCUUCAUAUGUUUACUGUCUUUGUGUCCUCAAAUCCUCAUUCUAUGGGACAUAGAAAUUGACAGAAGAGAGUGAGCAUACAGAGGCACUUGUAUAAGGCUAUACAAUUGUUUUUGUGUGCUCACUUCUCUUUCUGUCAGAUUCCAGUGCCGGAAUUUGACCUUUGGGACACUUUUCGGCCUGUUUUUGUUCCAUAUAUUCUCUCUCUUUUUUCGUCUCCCUUAGUACCUUCCGUUUCCUUCUAUGAUCUUUGCCAUUGAUUUGUCUGGAGAGGAGUCGAAUUUGACUGCAGGCGCCACUGAAGAUGGUUGUCUACUUAUGAUUUCACUGUGUAUUGUAAUAUGGUUAUUUUCUAUACCUGUUACUGUAUCCCAAUAUGAUUAAUUUAUGUCAAUUAACUUUUUAAAUACAAUUAAUGGAUUCAAAGCGUGACUUUUGAUGUUAUUCACUGUGCAGAUUUAGCGGCAAACGAUUAAUUAGCAUGGGACCAUUCGUGUUAUCCAGUGCCUACAAUUAGCUACUAUGGUCCUCUUUAACCAAGCCCUCUUAUAUAAUUUUCUUGGAAAUUUUCUUCUUGUUACUUGUUAGCACUAUCUUCAUCUUUUACAUUAUUUUAUUCCUACGCAUGAAACCGUAUCCAGAUUUCUCCUAGAAAUUUGUCUUGCUUGGAGUUCUUUUUUCCACCUGAAUCCAGCAGCACCAGGUUGCUUGUAUUCUCAGUUGCAAAUGGAGCUUCCUAUUCGCAAAAUCUGACUUUGUUACCCGAAAAAGGAUGAAGGAAAGGUUUUAUAUUUCAUUAGAAAAAACAAUGCCCCAUGUAUAGCAAUCUAUUAUGUGGAAUAUGAAUUAAUUUGGCCUGUUUCAUUCGAUCCUUUCCCCCCACAUCCAAAGGUCAAAUUUGUCUGGUCAUUUCUUAUUUUAUUCACUGCUUUCGAUCGAACCAUGUCUUAAUGACAAAUGCCAUGUAUUAUUCUUAACAAGAUGGUACUGGUAGUCUUUGUAUAGAUUGUCAAAUUGUGGAAUCCUUAAUGUCAUGCAGCCCAUCUAAAUUCAUAAUAAUGCAUGCACCAACUAAUUCUUUCAACGCCCUGUGCUCCGAUUGUGUCAGAGUAUGGUUUUGUUACUAGAUAGAAGGAAAAAUGGUUGCUUUUACCAAUUAUGAUAUUGAUUUGGAUUUCGGAGUGCUGUUGCUUGUAU